rnacentral:rRNA from 1 species
UACAGAGGGGGCAAGCGUUGUUCGGAAUUACUGGGCGUAAAGCGCGUGUAGGCGGGCUGAUAAGUCGGACGUGAAAUCCCUGGGCUCAACCCAGGAACUGCAUCCGAAACUGUCAGUCUGGAGUGGUGGAGAGGGAAGCAGAAUUCCUGGUGUAGAGGUGAAAUUCGUAGAUAUCAGGAGGAACACCGGUGGCGAAGGCGGCUUCCUGGACACUAACUGACGCUGAGACGCGAAAGCGUGGGGAGCAAACAGG